GGCCUGAUGGUCUAGUGGUAUGAUUGUCGCUUCGGGUUCUACACCUGGAUACAGUGUAUCUGUUCUGUGACAGGCCCCGGGUUCGAAUCCCGGUCAGGCCC